rnacentral:misc_RNA from 1 species
GUAGGUGAACCUGCGGAAGGAUCAUAACACGUAUCCAAACGUUAAAACCCCGCACCCGUGAACUUUCAAUCCUGCUCGCGUAGUUCGCAAUCUCAGGUAAAUCAAAGCAGAGACCUGGCUACGUGAGAACAUUGGAACAGUUACAAUCAAGCGGUAGUUUCAUAGGCAUUGUUUUCCCAGCAGUCAGUGUCGGAAAGUGUCACUGAUUGUGCAAGGUAUAGCGCUUUCACGAUUCCUGUAGACCAAAGGGUCCUUAAUAACCAAGUUUAAUGUAAAGCUCAAUGUAAUACAUUUGGUAAAAACCGAACAACUGUUAACAAUGGAUAUCUUGGUUCUC